rnacentral:lncRNA from 1 species
CUGAAGUGGUACCAGCAGUGUUGAGAAUGACAGUACAUAUGUUAUGACUAUUUGAAUUUCAGAAAGCCUUUGGUUAAAUUCUGCAUAAUUGGUUCCUGCUUAAGAUAGACCCUGCAAGAAUCCAGGAGGAGACGUGGGAGUAGAUAAAGAAUGAGUGGAAGAAACAAAAAACAGACACUCCUGAUAGAGUCUUGCUCUAUCACCCAGGCUGGAGUGAAGUGGUGCAAUCUCAGCUCAAUACAACCUCUGCCUCCUGGGUUCAAGCCAUUCUCCUGCCUCAGCCUCCCUAGUAGCUGGGACUACAGUCCUGGAAAGAAAAUAUGCUUGGUCACUGGCCAGGUGAUGGCAACCGUUCACCUUGGUCUAAUUACCAAAGGAGUAAAGAAGAAGACAGAGGGGCCUGACCAUUCGGAUUCUCCCUACAGAGUUGGGAGAUCUCGUAUUCUUACAUCUUGA